UUGCUCCUUUGGCAUUUAAAAGAUCGUUGCGUUUUGGUUAAAAACGUCGCGAGUUCGAGCCUCAUGCACUGCAACUCUGGGGAUGAUAAUGGCCGGCAGAUUAUUGCUAAUAAGCCGGAAGGGCCCAUUCUAGUCUCCCUUUUCUUUGUCGGCAAUACAAUUCUGUGUCACAAGCGGGUCUUCUGCAUCUUGUUGGGCACUAGAGAUAGCCCCAAGGCCAAUGCUACGGGUUUUCCUAUGAACUACUGCAAGAACCCAGGUGACAUGGCGUAUAUACUAAAUCGAAAUGUGAAAGUCAUCGUGCCCGUGUGGACCUUCGAAGAUAGGUGCGCUCCGAUCAAAAACGUCACAAGUUCGAGUUUCGUGCGCUGCAACGCUGGGGAUUAUUAUGGCUGGCAGAUGCUGGCCAGUAAGUCUGAAGUGCCCAUUCCAGUCUCCCUUCUUUUUGUUGGCAAUACCAUUCUUUGUAACUAGCGAGUCUUCGGCCUCAUGUUGGGCACUAGAGAUUGCCCCAAGGCACAACGUUUCGGGUAGUUCCUAUAAUUUAUUGGGGACGCCCAACUGACAUGGUUUAUAUACCAAAUCGAAACGGUAAAUUCAUCGUACACGUUCGGCAGUUGGUAGGUGGUUUUACUCCGAUAAAAAAUUCGUGAGUUCGAGUUUCGUGCGCUGCAACGCUGGGGAUGACUAUGGCUUGCAGAUGCUGGCUAAUAAGUCGGAAGUGAUCAUUCUUGUUCGCUUUUCUUCGUCGGCAAUACCAUUCGUUGUAACUAGCGAGUCUUCGGCCUCUUGUUGGGCACUAGAGAUUGCCCCAAAGCAUCUUCCUGAAGCUACUACACGCCUUGAUGUGCACUCGCUCUCUGUCUUUCCACGAUGCUGGUGACCCAGAAUGAGUCGACGACCAUCUGCAGCUGCGCGCCCCACCGCCUGCCGCAAAUUAAGAUGGGCUCAGUAUGUGGAGGUGCAAGCUCGGCUUGCAAAAAAUCCCAAAGCAGGGGCCCAGUUUGUCCUGCCGGGCGAUUAACGUAAAGCCCCGAGCCCUGAACCACCGCUGUUCUAAAUGCUGUGGCCUGGAAUAUCCUUGAUCCUUUUUCUGCCGCUGACGUGACUCGAAAUCUGUGGCUGAUGCACGGCUCGGCUGCAUCAGCGAAGGACCUGCUUUAGUGGUCACCUGGGACCAUAGCUGGAUAUUUUAACAUCAUUCUAUCGACAGGUCACCUCCCCGCGCAGCACUGCAUUUGUCGAACGACCCUGGUUCCGAAACUCGCAACUACUAUACUCCCUUCGGACUUCCGCCCAGUAACGGUGCACAUUCGAUCCCUCGCUUGCUAAACCAUUUUCUCUCUCAACGAUGGUAUCAACUCUGUCUUACUUCCCACUACCAGUUUGGUUUUCAGGAGCGGGAUGGAACUGCAAAGGCGACUUUUCUCCUACACGGAAUAUUACGGUAUGCGAUCUCUGCUCCUAGAUGCAUUGCUGUGGCUGUGCUCGAUGUGGCCAAAGCCUUUGAUUCCGUGAAUCAUGGUACACUCCUGCGAGCUGCCGAGACGAAUGGAGCCCCACCUCUACUUCUUAAUCUUCUAGCUUAAUCCUAUUCCCGAACACAUACCUUUAUAUUGGGCACUGAGAUAUAAUGCCAACGUGGCAUCCGCCAAGGGGACCCUCUCUGACCUCUUCAAUUUACAUGCACUCUUUCCGAAGCUUUUACCUAUUCUGACCGGUUUUGUCAUUAGCCAUUCAACGGUUGCUAGUAGGGCUCUCGAUAGAGCCCCAAGGCACAACUGGACGAGUUAUUCAUAUGGCACACCGUGAGGAAGUCACUUGCUGAUGCGCCCCGUUGGAGACUGCUGUGUGUUGCCCCCUUUGUCCCAGCUUACUGACUGCUGUUGCUCAGCAUCCCGAUUGUAAUUUCACAGAGUUCUCUUAAUGUUUCAAAGCUUGCUUAUUUGCGGCAUUUCUGCCCAACAUACUUCUGCCCAAUACUUCCUUGCCAAAUGCCUCGUCAUCUAAUUAGUGACGCGCAUGCAUGGAUUAACGAGAUUCCUACUGACCCUAUCUACUAUCCAGUGAAACCACAGCCAAGGGAACGGGCUUGGCAGAAUCAGUGGGGGAAAGAAGACCCCGGUGAGCUUGACUUGCGUCCAACUCUGUGAAGAGACAUGGCGGGUGUAUUAAUUAAUGGGAGGCGGGAAUCGCCCUUCGGGGUCUCUCGUUCGACAAUGAAAGACCACUCCCAUCAUUGUUUCUUUACUUAUUCAGUGAAGCGGGAACUGUCAAUUAUUUUCCAUGUUGACAUUAAGCACACGUUAGUGCGUUGGUCUCACCCCGUGUGUGGCUGGCGUGCCGGCGUCUUGGUCGCAACUGUCUGGCCAGGGCUAGUGGUAUGUGUGUUUUGCCCUCUACUGCCUGUAGGCUGUUGCCGCAAGGUGGCAGUCCAUGGCUGGUAGACGGUGGGCGCGUGUGCCCGGUCUUGGUGCUAUCAGGCAGGUUUGGCGACGUGCGACCCGAUCUGAAGACAGUGUCAGGCGGGGAGUUUGACUGGGGCGGUACAUCUGUCAAAUCGUAACGCAGGUGUCCCAAGGUGAGCUCAGCCAGGACAGAAACCUGGCGUAGAGUAAAAGGGCAAAAGCUUACUUGAUUUUGAUUUUCAGUACGAAUUCAGACCGUGAAAGCGUGGCCUAGCGAUCCUUUUGAUCAACCGAUAUUCAGAUUUUGAAGCAAGCGGUGUCAGAAAAGUAACCACAGGGGUAACUGGCUUGCAGCGGCCAAGCGUUCAUAGCGACAUCGUUUUUGAUCCACCGCUGUCGGCUCUUCCUAUCAUUGUGAGAUAGGUUAUUUUUACCCUACUGAUGGUUGAACAGUGUAAACAGUGAAGUACAAUCUGAUCGUUGCAAUGGUAAUUCUGAUUAGUACGACAGGAACCGCAGGGUAAGACAUUUGGUCCAUGUGUCUGGUCGAGCGGCCAAUGGUGCGAAGCUACCAUCUGAUGGAUUAAGACUGAACGCCUCUAAGUCUGAAUCCUGUCCAGAGAUGCGCAACGAUACUGUUUGGCCUGCCACGUGGUUGGGCAGAUAUAGUACUUUCCGGUCAGGUUUCAUUCGGAUGAAACCAUCGUGCCCUACCGAACCUGGUCGGUCUGGUAUUGUUAUGCCAGAGCUGUGAACAUAAACACAUGCACCGGGCCAUUUUGUUGUGGGGAUCGACACGAUAUCCAAUUGUGGUGUGAGCGUGGUGGCACUAAAUCAUGUGUAGCCGACUUAGAGUUUUUUCGGGGAGACUUGAGUAUUCGCGCAGCUAUCACAAUACGAGGUAUUAAGUCCUACCCCUAUCCGACGUAAUGAUUUGA
rnacentral:ncRNA from 1 species